UUAUAUUUGUAUCGUAUGUUGACUAUUUUGGUUGCUGAGAAUAAAAUAUUGAGUGCUUUGAAUUGAGCAAGAAAUAGUGUUUUGAUUGUAUAAGAAGAUUUGGACUAGCUAUGUGUAGAAUAUAUAGAAUAUUGCUGAAUAGGGGCUGAAUUAUGACACCUUAGGUUGCUAGUCAUGGGCCAAAUCAUGAUGCCUUGGUUUGCCAUCGUGGGCC
rnacentral:lncRNA from 1 species